rnacentral:misc_RNA from 1 species
UACAGAGGGUGCGAGCGUUAAUCGGAUUUACUGGGCGCAAAGCGCGCGUAGGCGGCUUUUUAAGUCGGAUGUGAAAGCCCCGAGCUUAACUUGGGAAUUGCGUUCGAUACUGGGAAGCUAGAGAAUGGGAGAGGAUGGUAGAAUUCCGGGUGUAGCGGUGAAAUGCGUAGAGAUCUGGAGGAAUACCGGUGGCGAAGGCAGCCAUCUGGCCUAAUUCUGACGCUGAGGUACGAAAGCAUGGGGAGCAAACAGG